rnacentral:misc_RNA from 1 species
GAUGAAGAACGCAGCGAAAUGCGAUAAGUAAUGUGAAUUGCAGAAUUCAGUGAACCAUCGAAUCUUUGAACGCACAUUGCGCCCGGCAGUAAUCUGCCGGGCAUGCCUGUCCGAGCGUCAUUUCUGCCCUCGAGCGAGUCCAGCAUCUAGGUGCUGGGCCCGCCCGGCGUUGGGGCACUACGGGAAGCCCUGUGCUGUCCCCCGUAGGCCCCGAAAUGAAGUGGCGGUCCUGCCGCGGCGCCCCCUGCGUAGUAUAACAGCUCGCUUCGGGACCCGGUGGAGGCCUGCCGUCAAACCUUACUCUCUAAGUUUGACCUCGGAUCAGGUAGGGUUACCCGCUGAACUUAAGCAUAUCAAUAAGCGGAGA